UGCAGUCGAACGGGGUCGGAACUUCGGUUCCGGCUUACGUGGCGCACGGGUGAGUAACACGUGGGAAUCUGCCCAUCUAUGGGGAAUAACUGCGGGAAACUGCAGCUAAUACCGCAUACGCCCUUCGGGGGAAAGGCUUCGGCCGUAGAUGGAUGAGCCCGCGUCCGAUUAGCUAGUUGGUGGGGUAAUGGCCUACCAAGGCGACGAUCGGUAGCUGGUCUGAGAGGAUGAUCAGCCACACUGGGACUGAGACACGGCCCAGACUCCUACGGGAGGCAGCAGUGGGGAAUAUUGGACAAUGGGCGAAAGCCUGAUCCAGCAAUGCCGCGUGAGUGAUGAAGGUCUUCGGAUUGUAAAGCUCUUUCGACGGGGAAGAUAAUGACGGUACCCGUAGAAGAAGCCCCGGCUAACUUCGUGCCAGCAGCCGCGGUAAUACGAAGGGGGCUAGCGUUGUUCGGAUUUACUGGGCGUAAAGCGUGCGUAGGCGGCUUAUCAAGUCAGAAGUGAAAGCCCGGGGCUCAACUCCGGAAUGGCUUUUGAGACUGGUAGGCUGGAGUUCGGGAGAGGGUAGUGGAAUUCCCAGUGUAGAGGUGAAAUUCGUAGAUAUUGGGAAGAACACCGGUGGC
rnacentral:rRNA from 1 species